GAACGCUGGCGGCGUGCUUAACACAUGCAAGUCGAACGGGAAGCGGUGUGGAUCUGCUUAGGUGGGUUCAUGUCGUGGAGAGUGGCGAACGGGUGCGUAACACGUAGGUAACCUGCCCUGAAAUGGGGGAUAACCACGGGAAACUGUGGCUAAUACCGCAUAAUCUCGCCGGGACGGGAGUACGGUGAGGAAAGCUGAGGCGAUUUGGGAGGGGCCUGCGGUCGAUUAGCUGGUUGGUGGGGUAAAGGCCUACCAAGGCGAUGAUCGAUAGCUGUUCUGAGAGGAAGGCCAGCCACACGGGAACUGAGACACGGUUCCGACUCCUACGGGGGGCAGCAGUGAGGAAUAUUGCGCAAUGGGGGGAACCCUGACGCAGCAACGCCGCGUGGAGGACGAAGGUUUUCGGAUUGUAAACUCCUUAACUGGGGGAAGAGGAAGGACGGUACCCCAGGACGAAGACACGGCUAACUACGUGCCAGCAGCCGCGGUAACACGUAGGUGUCGAGCGUUAUCCGGGAAUUACUGGG
rnacentral:rRNA from 1 species